GCAGUGGUGGUUUAGUGCUAGAAUUCUUGCCUUUCAUGCAGGAGACCUGGGUUCAAUUUCCAGCCAAUGCA